rnacentral:rRNA from 1 species
UACAGAGGGUGCGAGCGUUGUUCGGAAUUAUUGGGCGUAAAGGGCGCGUAGGCGGUGCGGUAAGUCACCUGUGAAAUCUCCUGGCUCAACUGGGAGCUUGCAGGCGAAACUGCCGUGCUGGAGUGUGGGAGAGGUGAGUGGAAUUCCCGGUGUAGCGGUGAAAUGCGUAGAUAUCAGGAGGAACACCUGUGGCGAAAGCGGCGCACUGGACCACAACUGACGCUGAGGCGCGAAAGCUAGGGGAGUAAACAGG